GACAGAGGGGGCAAGCGUUGCUCGGAAUUACUGGGCGUAAAGGGCGCGUAGGCGGGAUGGCAAGUCGGUCGUGAAAUCCCUCGGCUCAACCGAGGAACGUCGAUCGAUACUGCUGUUCUUGAGGAUUGCAGAGGAGACUGGAAUUCCCGGUGUAGCGGUGAAAUGUGUAGAGAUCGGGAGGAACACCGGUGGCGAAGGCGGGUCUCUGGGCCUUACCUGACGCUGAGGAGCGAAAGCGUGGGGAGCAAACAGG
rnacentral:rRNA from 1 species